CCCUCAACCCCUAAGAACCACUAUUCUACUUUCUGUAUCUAUAAUUUUCACUACUCCAUGUACCUCAUAUAAGAAGAAUCAUACAGUAUUUGUCUUUUUGUGACCGGCUUAUUUCACUUAGCAUAAUGUCUUCAAAGUU